GUGUGUGUCAUUGUCACCUGGGGAACAUUUUCCCCAACCCCGAGGCCACCUUCGUCAAAGAGAUAACGUACCGCGCGUCCAACCUGAAGCCGCCGGGGGAGUCGACGGUGCCGGCGUCGAACCUGCAGAACGCGUUCCGCAUCAUCAAAGAGGUGCAGAAACGCUACAAGACCCGCGAGGCCGAGGAGAAGGAGAAGGAGGGCAUCGUCAAGCAGGACUCUCUGGUCAGAGCGUUGAGUGGUCAAUGUUGGG